AUGGGCAGUACUGGCGAGUCUCAGAAACUAAACAAGAGCAGGCGUUGCAAGUCACAGGAACAGGAGAUUUUGAAAUUGGGUAUCCAAGCCCCAGACGCACCCAUGGCAGGACCUGAGAAGCUUCCUGCGGCUAUGCAGAAAGGACCAACUCUCUAUAUUCAGGCAAUUUGGCUGAGCCUCACCUUAUUAUCCUGCCAACAAACACUGCUGGGGAGGCAAAACUCAAGGGGAGGUUGCAACCUCAGGCCAUCUCCCAGGCUCCAACAUCACAACAAGGACUUUAUCUCAUUGCACCAGCACUACUCGUCUCGCUGCCUUUACGUUGUACCAUCUGUGCAGCUUCCAACAGUGAUGCAUGCACGCCAUCCUCUACAGUGCCUGGUACCUCACAGGUGGUGUUCUUCAACCUCCCAUUACCUUCAGCUAUGCCACCAUCAGCUCAGACACAGACAUCCAGUCAAGCUGUUCCUUACUCCAUUCAGCAAUACAGAAAGAGAGGACAGGAGAGGGAGCGCACUGGAACUGUCACAAGAAAAUAUGUGAUGAAGACAAACGUCAUUCUUUGCAGAAAGUGUAACAGAGCAAAAGCCACCAUCACAUCUUCAGUACUUUGGCAACUGGUUCUGCAAAGAGUCUGAGACUCAAUCAUAUGGUGAAUGGAGGUCUGUGCUGGAGGAACGAGGUUAUAGAGGGGAAAAAAGAAAGUAAAAAAAACGGAAAUGACAACCCUCCAGCUUCUUAAAAUUGCUCUUUUAACACGUUAUUUUUAUUUAUUAAAACAGUUUUCCACUAUGCCACAGUCCAUUUUAAAUAAGCCUUGGCCCAGAGAAAACGCCUGCGCUUCUGGAUCAUGUUUAGAUAUGGCUUCUUUUUUGACCUAUAGAGUUUUAGUAGUUUAAACGGCGAAUGGCACGGUGGAUUGUGUUCACGACAAUGUUUUCUGGAAGUAUUCCUGAGCCCAUGUUGUGAUUUCCAUUACAGAAGCAUUCCUGUAUGUGAUGCAGUGCCGUCUAAGGGCCCGAAGAUCAUGGGCAUCCAGUAUGGUUUUCCGGACUUGACCCUUACGCACAGAGAUUGUUCCAGAUUCUC
ensembl:lncRNA